UCAAAAAUACUCCAACUGUUCUAAAGUUAUUUUAGUAGUUUUUUAAUUUUUUUAGCUAUUUUAAUAUUUAUUUAAAAAAGGACAUAUGUAUUUAAGAUAACAAUUAUAAAUAUCAUUAUUUUUGGUAAUUGCAAAAAAUCAAGCAGCAUCACCUGUUUUUAUUGACCUAUAUUUACAAUUAUAACUAAAUAACAUAUUUAAAAUACUAAUAUGAGCGUGUUAAUUAAGUACAUAUUAGUAGUAAUAGUAGUAGUAGUAGUAGUUUAUGAUGUGUUAGACAGACCCAGUGAAUGUGUUGUUUUGCACUCUAUUUGUUAUAGUAAUAUAGCAAUUAAGUUUGAUUGCUACUCAGCUGUUAAUUAAAAGCUGUUUUAGCUGUUAUACUUUAAAUUGAAACUGAGUUCCAUGCAUCUUAAGUUUUGUUCAAAAGGAAAUGCUCCCUUUUAUUAAGAGGGAGCAUUUCUUUUUUGACUUAAUUGCAGCUUUAAGAGUCAUCUUUAACAUUAUUGCAGUUCUCAGAGUCCUAAAGCAAUACCCUCUUAAAUAAUUUUAAUAAGUGGAAAAUGUUUUCCAAUAUUUAUUUUGUCAAUGUCAUGCAUAAGUUUGUAUAAUUGGAACGAAUCUCUCCUUUUUGUAUUCUCAGAGUUAACAAGCCUAUGGAAAUCAAUUUAUUUUUGAAUGUUUAUUUAAACAAAUUUUUGACAAAGCAUUCAUAACAAUAAUUAAAUAAGUAAAAUUUUUAAACAUGAAUCUUUUAAGAAGUUCCAAAAGUAGGAGAAAAGCACAAAUGAAUUAGCUAUGCUUGUAGAAAGACUUUUAAAUUAGCAUAGUUAAUAAAUGUUGCAUAUGUAGAAGUUAAAAAUUCUGGUUGCUUAAAUAACAGUUAAUAGAACUUAAUAGAAGGACUCAAUAGGACUAAAAUCCAUAAUAUGAUAUGACUUAAAUCCUAUAGAUAGAAGUUAUUAGGACAGAUAAUCUAUAAAUGCAGCAGAAAGGAUUUAAGAACUUUCCACAGAUAGUAAAAGCAGUAAUUAUGAAAGUAAUAAAAGUGUUAUGCUGACAUUUAGAAAAGACCUAGUCGAUGGACUGUUAAAUGUUCAGUACUCUAACUAGAGUAACUACAUUUUAAUCACUUCUGUGUAGAUCUUCCAGCACAAGUUAUGACACUAUUGAAAAUGCCUUAAAACUGAGAUGUUACUAUAAAGUUAGGAAAUCUUGAUGAUAGAGAAAAACCAAUGGUACCACUGAAAUCAGCAUACAAAAAUUAUAUUAUAAUUCAGUGUAUUUCAAGAUAUGUGCUUUAUGAAAUCUAAAGUUCAAUGAAAUUAUGAAAAUGGCUCAUGUCAGGUUUUCUAGGUUUAUAACUGCAAUUUGAAUUGCAAAGCAAUAAAGCUUGUGUGAUGGCAAUAAUUAACUCUUAUCAGAAAAAAAAUUACAAAAUUUUAUAUAAAACAAAUUUGUUGAUAAGCUCGCAACAUUGUUUUCAGACGAUAAAUAAAUCUAAAUUUUAUUUGGAAAAGAGGUAGAAUGCAACAUUCAAAAAGUGACUUUUAGAUCAACUUUGUAUAUCUGUCGAAAACCCAAUUGUAAAGUUAAAGCGAUGCUAUAGCCGAGCCCAUAUCUCAAUCUCUCUGAAUAUAUAUCUGUCAAAGAUCGAUCUACAAAUUUGUGACAUUUUCUGUAUUUCUUUUUGUUAAGGCUUUACCUGAAUAUU